UGAGGAAUAUUGCACAAUGGGCGCAAGCCUGAUGCAGCCAUGCCGCGUGUAUGAAGAAGGCCUUCGGGUUGUAAAGUACUUUCAGCGGGGAGGAAGGGAGUAAAGUUAAUACCUUUGCUCAUUGACGUUACCCGCAGAAGAAGCACCGGCUAACUCCGUGCCAGCAGCCGCGGUAAUACGGAGGGUGCAAGCGUUAAUCGGAAUUACUGGGCGUAAAGCGCACGCAGGCGGUUUGUUAAGUCAGAUGUGAAAUCCCCGGGCUCAACCUGGGAACUGCAUCUGAUACUGGCAAGCUUGAGUCUCGUAGAGGGGGGUAGAAUUCUAGGUGUAGCGGUGAAAUGCGUAGAGAUCUGGAGGAAUACCGGUGGCGAAGGCGGCCCCCUGGACGAAGACUGACGCUCAGGUGCGAAAGCGUGGGGAGCAAACAGG
rnacentral:rRNA from 1 species